rnacentral:rRNA from 1 species
AACGCUAGCUACAGGCUUAACACAUGCAAGUCGAGGGGCAGCAUGGUCUUAGCUUGCUAAGGCUGAUGGCGACCGGCGCACGGGUGAGUAACACGUAUCCAACCUGCCGUCUACUCUUGGCCAGCCUUCUGAAAGGAAGAUUAAUCCAGGAUGGGAUCAUGAGUUCACAUGUCCGCAUGAUUAAAGGUAUUUUCCGGUAGACGAUGGGGAUGCGUUCCAUUAGAUAGUAGGCGGGGUAACGGCCCACCUAGUCAACGAUGGAUAGGGGUUCUGAGAGGAAGGUCCCCCACAUUGGAACUGAGACACGGUCCAAACUCCUACGGGAGGCAGCAGUGAGGAAUAUUGGUCAAUGGGCGAUGGCCUGAACCAGCCAAGUAGCGUGAAGGAUGACUGCCCUAUGGGUUGUAAACUUCUUUUAUAAAGGAAUAAAGUCGGGUAUGCAUACCCGUUUGCAUGUACUUUAUGAAUAAGGAUCGGCUAACUCCGUGCCAGCAGCCGCGGUAAUACGGAGGAUCCGAGCGUUAUCCGGAUUUAUUGGGUUUAAAGGGAGCGUAGAUGGAUGUUUAGGUCAGUUGUGAAAGUUUGCGGCUCAACCGUAAAAUUGCAGUUGAUACUGGAUAUCUUGAGUGCAGUUGAGGCAGGCGGAAUUCGUGGUGUAGCGGUGAAAUGCUUAGAUAUCACGAAGAACUCCGAUUG